GCCCGGCUAGCUCAAUCGGUAGAGCGUGAGACUCUUACUCAAGAGACGCACACAUCUCAAGGUUGUGGGUUCGACCCCCACGUCGGGCU